UUACUAUAUGUUAUCAACGUAUGCUUUAUUAUUUAUUCUAUCAUGAAAAAAUUUAACAUUUAUAUUAUAAAUAUGUUUUUGUCUGUUUUUUGAAGAAUAGGAGAUUUUAUGUUCCAGUUUAUUGGUUAAAAUAUAUUAAAUCCAUAUUUUCUGCAGAAGAAGCAAAGGAAGUAUUGGAUUUUUCCUCAUAGACUGAGGGCAUUGGAAGUGUUAAAGGUUGAAAAAUCUCUGAAUCUCAUCACAACCUCAUGCACAACUCUCGAUAAAAUUUUAAAAGGUGGAAUACCA